UGAAACUGCCAGCGUUCAUAUGUAACACUGGCACAGGGAAGCUGGUGGCCGAGCAGAUGAAGCCUAGAGAGAACUAAAGGAACUGCACCUCAAGCACUUCGUAUUCUCCAAGAAAUUAGAAAACCUCUGCCAAACAAAUUGCAAGGGAAUGAGUUGAGAGCUAAAAAAUUUAAGACUACAUUUUGCUUAGAGAAUCACCUUUUCAAAAGUUCAACAGUUCUGAAGCACACAUGGACUCUAGUAUGCGGGAAGCGGAAAUGGUUGCCUCAUUCAUUUCAAUGCAGGCAGCAGAUCUGUCUUCAAAUACCUUUUUGUGCAUUGUUCUGUUUACUCAGUUUAAAUGAAGAGAUCAAACCACACCCUCAAGAGCUCCAUAGACAUACAUAUGUAGAGGAUUGCUACCUUGGUCUGCCGUACUAGGAAACAGUAAUCUGUAAUUCCAGUUCCAUCAUGCUCCAGAUCCAGAUGAACAAUCGUGCCUAUAACAACUGGCCACUGAUGGGCCAGUGUGAAUCCUUGAAGGUGUCCUCUAUGGUAGGACUACAGCUACAGCAAUUCAGAAUCUGAACAAUUAUAUGUUCAGAUUCAAUACAGUCCUUAUCAGCAACAUCGUCAUUGUAUCAUUUUUUAUGCACCUGAUACUAUAUUUUCUG